GAUGAACGCUAGCGGCAGGCUUAAUACAUGCAAGUCGAGGGACAGCACAGGUAGCAAUACUGGGUGGUAACCGGCAAACGGGUGCGGAACACGUACACAACCUUCCUUUAAGUGGGGGAUAGCCCAGAGAAAUUUGGAUUAAUACCCCGUAAUAUAGUUGAAUGGCAUUAUUUGAUUAUUAUAGCUACGGCGCUUAAUGAUGGGUGUGCGGCUGAUUAGAUAGUUGGCGGGGUAACGGCCCACCAAGUCUACGAUCAGUAGCUGAUGUGAGAGCAUGAUCAGCCACACGGGCACUGAGACACGGGCCCGACUCCUACGGGAGGCAGCAGUAAGGAAUAUUGGUCAAUGGACGCAAGUCUGAACCAGCCUUGCCGCGUGAAGGAUUAAGGUCCUCUGGAUUGUAAACUUCUUUUAUUUGGGACGAAAAAGGGCCUUUCUAGGUCAACUGACGGUACCAGAUGAAUAAGCACCGGCUAACUCCGUGCCAGCCGCCGCAGUAAAAC
rnacentral:rRNA from 1 species